GUAGCAGGUAGGAUAAUUCCUACCUGCUCCUCUACUCAGAAAGUAAAUAGAACAUGAUGGUGGAGUUCACAUGAUUCAUAAUUAACAAUUCUGCAUGAUUAGGUAGGGCUUGCAACACCUUAAUAGCUCCUAUCUAGU